AACGAACGCUGGCGGCAUGCCUAACACAUGCAAGUCGAACGAUGCCUUCGGGCAUAGUGGCGCACGGGUGCGUAACGCGUGGGAAUCUGCCCUUGGCUUCGGAAUAACAGUUAGAAAUGACUGCUAAUACCGGAUGAUGUCUUCGGACCAAAGAUUUAUCGGCCAGGGAUGAGCCCGCGUAGGAUUAGGUAGUUGGUGGGGUAAAGGCCUACCAAGCCGACGAUCCUUAGCUGGUCUGAGAGGAUGAUCAGCCACACUGGGACUGAGACACGGCCCAGACUCCUACGGGAGGCAGCAGUGGGGAAUAUUGGACAAUGGGGGGAACCCUGAUCCAGCAAUGCCGCGUGAGUGAUGAAGGCCUUAGGGUUGUAAAGCUCUUUUACCAGGGAUGAUAAUGACAGUACCUGGAGAAUAAGCUCCGGCUAACUCCGUGCCAGCAGCCGCCGUAA
rnacentral:rRNA from 1 species